GUGGUAUGCACACUUGAUAACGAUGUUCUCCAAGUUGUGCAAAGCUUUCCAUUACAAACAACCUAUCUAUGAGAUGUAUCCAAUAUAUGUGUAGACGAGUCUGAUAUUAAACAGGAUAUAUCAUCUUUUCAGCCUCGGUGUUGGAAGAUCUAUAUGACAUUAUUGUGCUUUGUUGUUCUCCUCAAGUCCUGUUUUGGUUUUUGCUCGGUUCUCCUCAAGGAUGUCUUUGGUUUUUUGUUCAGUUCUCAUCUAAUCUUAUCAACUUGGUUUUUGUUUUAGACUGCAAAAGUCACAGACAAGAACUCCUCAAUACCCACACAUGCAAUCAAAUCACCAUUACAUCAAACUGAGUCAUUAAACGACCACAAACUGAUUCAUAAACUCCGCACAACAAACUGAUCAAGACCAAUUUUGCUCGAACACAAAUUGAGUUAUAAACUCAGCACACAAAGAAGUUGAUUAAGUAAAGUAUAAUCAAGGAGGGUCUUACUUUAGCAAAGAGUUUAGAGCAAUCAUACCGAAGAGAUUUACUACACCUAGGCUAAUGACCAUUGCUCUCUCGGAUGUAUUUGUUUUA
rnacentral:lncRNA from 1 species